UGCCUGGAUGCCCUGCUUACCCAGCCUGGCACUAAGGCAAAACCUAAGCAGCCCUUCCUGUUCUCAUCUGUCUUGAACUCCUUGAGGUUAGUGCAGAUGGAGGCAAGAUCAGGAGUUCGUGAUCACAGAGACACCAGCAGCAUCAACCCACAAUCUUGGGCCUCUGGAAUGUCAGUGACAAAUUAGGUUCCAAGUAUAUAUAGGCAACACAAAGAGAGAACCAUUCUCUGCUUUCAAUAGGACAGAAGAGCUCCUUGGCACUGGAUGCCUCCGGGUCUGGUUGAGAGAGGAAUGGUUAGGAGACUGUUCUGAGGAUACGCAGACAUCAUCCAAAGCUUCCUACAUUCAGAUGAGGACAGAGGUUGGGCCAGAGCUUUGUAUGCUUGUUACCUAAGGAUGGUUCUGACCAUGUAAGCAGAUCACAGAAGCACUGUUCACAAUAGCAAAGACUUGGAACCAAUCCAAAUGCCCAUCAAUGAAAACCUGGAUAAAGAAAAUGUGGCACAUACACAGCAUGGAAUACUAUGCAGCCAUAAAUAAGGAUGAAUUCAUGUCCUUUGCAGGGACAUGGAUGAAGUUGGAAACAUCAUUCUCAGCAAACUAACCUGGAGGCAAAGGAUGCCAAGAUGGGAAAGCCACAUAAUGGAAGGAUCCUGGAUUUCAGAGCUGUCACUUGGAGGAGGGGCACCC
rnacentral:antisense_RNA from 1 species